CAGUCUAAUGCCAGCUCCUGCAGAGGGGGUGGUGGCAGCAGCGUGAUUCUCCAGGCCGUGGCUGAUGAUGGCUGGCUUCUGAAGCAGCUAAGCAGGCAGCAGGAAUGCAGAGUCCCAUGAGCUCAGGGGCAAGUGACUUCACACAGGGAUCAAACAGUUGUUUUUCAGAAAGCCGGACCGCCAGAUGGAAAAUGCUGAGCACGGUCACAUAGACCUCAGACAGGAUCUCACUCUAUCGACCAGACUGGAGUGCAGUGGCACAAUCUCGGCUCAUGGCAACCUCCACCUCCUCAGCUCAAGUGAUUCUCCUGCCUCAGCCUCCCGAGUAGCUGGGACUGCAGGUGCACACCACCAUGCCCAUCUGAUUUUUGUAUUUUUAGUAAAGACAGGGUUUCACCAUGUUGGCCAGGCUGGUCUCAAACUCCUGACUUCAAGUAAUCCACCCACCUUGGCCCCCCAAAGUUCUGGAAUUAUAGGCAUGAGCCACUGUGCCUGGCCUAAAAUUUCAAUGCUGAAAUUUCAAUAUGGUGGCCUUCCUUUACAAAUUGAAUGACAUCAGGAAUAUCACUUCUAGAAGCCUAUGUAACAGAAACAAUAAGCAUGACUACAUGAAGAAUAUAUGUCUAAUGAUGCUCAUUGCAUCAUAAUUUGUAGCUUAAGAAUUGGAAACAAACCAAACAUCUACCUAUGAAAGAAUGGUUAAAUUGCCUAUGAAUGGAAUAUUAUGUAUGUAACUAUGACAAAGAAUUAGGUAGGUCUAUAUGAACUAACAUGGAAAGAUAUCUGUGUCAUCUUUAAAAGAAAAUUCGCAGACAGAGCAAAAUGGCAUUUCGUAUAAAAUGUACAGAUAAACUGUGCAAGAAAGAUUUAACACAAGAGGCCUGACUGCUAUCCUCUGAAAGGUUCUUGGCUGGCAUCUGGGAACUUGGAAGUUAGGAGAGUUCUUGCCAUUACCAACUGGUAAGAGUGGCUCGCUGCACCCAAACUGUUUAUAGGAACCAUGUGGUUUGUGCUGAACAUCUGCUUUCCUGUGGCACAGUCUGAAAUUUUGAUAUAUACCUGUUAGAGGCGGCCUGUGUGACCAGCCCCCAGUAAAAUGCUGAACAUUGAGUUUCUAAGGAGCUUCCCUAGUAGACAUUUCACACAUGUCACAACUCCUUGCCUGGGGAAUUAAACAUGUUCCAUGCGAAUCCACUGGGCAAGGACCCUUGGAAACUUGUGCCUGGUUUCUCCCAGCCUUUGGCCCAUGCACUUUUUCCCUUUGUUGAUCUCACUCUAUAUCCUUUCACUGUAAUAAAUCUUACCA